UACGUAGGGUGCAAGCGUUGUCCGGAAUUAUUGGGCGUAACGAGCUCGUAGGCGGUCUGUCGCGUCUGCUGUGAAAACUCGGGGCUUAACCCCGGGCCUGCAGUGGGUACGGGCAGACUAGAGUGCGGUAGGGGAGACUGGAAUUCCUGGUGUAGCGGUGAAAUGCGCAGAUAUCAGGAGGAACACCGGUGGCGAAGGCGGGUCUCUGGGCCGAUACUGACGCUGAGGAGCGAAAGCGUGGGGAGCGAACAGG
rnacentral:rRNA from 1 species